UUUAAUGCUUGCUAUACAGCCAUUUAAGUCUAGUCGAAGGUCUGAUGUCACGAGGUAGAAACACGUACGAUAAAUAAAUUUUUAUGGCAUUAGCAUAUCGCCAGCUAGUGAUGUAACGUCUUCACACAUAAAGAAUUAUUGGAAUGUUCUUCACUGUGACAAGAAAUGAGAGAUCGUUUCUAAAACUCGAUAAAUACACUGAAGAGAACGAAUUGUUCGAUUGUCUAGUUUUAAUCAUGUGAAAUAGCAAUAACUUUGAAAUAUUAUCAUGAAUUUGGUGCUUUUACUGGGUAAAUUUUUAAUAUUAUUAGGGAAUCUGUCAACAUCUACCAACAAUGUCAACAUGCAUUUAUGUCUUCGAUAUCUGUCAACAGCUUUAACGUUGGUCAACAUUUAAGCUUGUUAACAUCUUUCAACAUCAUCAGCUUUUAAACAUUUGUCAACACGUAUUACUAAUUUCAUCGUUCAGUUUCGACUGAAAUAGCCAGCGUAUAAGCUCGUUUAUUCGGACAGCAAAUAGGAAGUUCGAGAUUCGCCCGGAACCACGCUACAUGCACCUCGAAACAGCUACAGAAACACCUCAAUGAUUUGCAGCAACGUCUAUAAAUAAGAAUCAACGAUUUUUCGACAUUGGUUCUAGAUAUAAGAUGUAUCAAAAAGCAAUUUUUCAUCUCAAGACUGAAAAAGAUAAUCGAUUAUAAAUUUUUUAUAUUACGAAGAUUAUUUGUACUCCUUCAUACGCAAUGAUUCGUCCAUUCUUAUAAUUUUUAUAUUGUACCAAUCUUGUCCAUUUGUCAGUUAAGAAAACAUAGACUAUCUAGACCAAGAAUAAUCGAAAACUUUUAAAAGGGCUUUUUAAAUAAGUAAUUAAACUUUGAAUAAUUGAAAUAACCUUUCAAGCUUC